GGGACUGCCUGACAAGAGAAGGAGCUGAGCUGGCUGGAGGCUGCAAUUCUCAAAGUGAUCUUAAUUGGGAGGAACCAUGAAGACAGCCACGGGAGCUUUAAUCAUAUUCUCAUGGCUGCAGCUGAACUGGUUCAGUCAAGGAGAGAAGGUGGAGCAGCAUCCUUCUACCCUGAGCGUCCAGCAGGGAAGCAGCUCUGUUAUCAACUGCAGUUAUUCAGACAGUGCCUCAAAUUACUUCCCUUGGUAUAAGCAAGAACUCAGGAAAGGUCCCCAGCUCCUUAUAGACAUUCGUUCAACCAUGGCCACAAAAGAAGACCAAAGACUCACUGUUUUAUUGAAUAAGACGGCCAAACAUCUCUCCCUGCACAUCAAAGACACCCAACCUGAAGACUCAGCUGUAUACUUCUGUGCAGCAAGCACACAUUGCUUCCCAGGCACCUGCUGCCUGCACUCAAACCUGGGUCUGGGGCAGCCCCUUGUCCUCUGA